CUAUUAAUCAGUUAAAUAAAGCUAUUGGAUUCAUACUCCAACAAUAUCCUUGAUUUAAUAGA
rnacentral:tRNA from 1 species